rnacentral:rRNA from 1 species
UACGUAGGGGGCAAGCGUUGUCCGGAUUUACUGGGCGUAAAGAGCGCGUAGGCGGAAGCUUAAGUGUGGCCUGAAAGCCCCGGCUCAACCGGGGAAGGUGGCUGCAAACUGGGCUUCUUGAGGGGGAUAGAGGAAAGUGGAAUUCCGGGUGUAGCGGUGAAAUGCGUAGAGAUCCGGAGGAACACCAGUGGCGAAGGCGGCUUCUGGGUCCGCCCUGACGCUGAGGCGCGAAAGCGUGGGAGCGAACGG